AAAUGACGUCAUGUCGAGCACAUUGCAGUCGUGCGCGGCGGUUUUGCAGAACCUUGAAGAAUCCUUGGAAGCGUUUGACGACCUCCUGCCGGGCAACAUCAUUUGUGUGUCGGGGUCUUUCGUUGCUCGUCUCCCGCUUUUCCACGCCCCCUCCCUCCCUCCAUCCCUCCCUCUCUCUCUCGCUCUCUCUCUCGGUGCGGACAUGCUCCCGGUGUUGUCGAGGAGGAGAUGAGGUUCCGAAAUGCGUCCUUCUUGACGCUGUCGCUGUUGGGCCUGUGCGGGUUGGUCUCGUUGUCCUGGUACACCGCCUUCAGCAGCUCCGGAGGAGAUGUGGUGGACUUCUACCAGCGGGAGUUCCUGGCGUUGAGGGAGCGCCUGCGCUCGGCCGAGCAGGAGAACCUGCGUCGCUCCAAAGAACUCAACCUGGUCCUGGACGAGAUCAAGCGGGCCAUCGCCGAGAAACAAGCUCUGCGGGACAUCAACAGAACCUGGAGCAGCCUCUCCGAGGAGACCAGGAUGAAGUUGUGGAACGUGAGCGCCAGCAAGAACUUCCUUCGGCUUCCUUCCGUCCUCCAUCAUCUCCCUCACCUCAUCAACAGAGAAGACAGCCUGCAGCCCGCCGUCCACGUGGGACAAGGACGCACCGGAGUUUCCAUAGUGAUGGGCGUUCCCAGCGUGAGGCGGGAGGUCCAUUCGUACUUGACGGACACGCUCGGCUCUCUCAUGUCGCAACUCAGCGCCGCCGAGAAAGACGACUGCGUCAUCGUUGUCCUCGUCGCAGAGGCGGACCAUCAGUACGCCCUGAGUGUGGCCGACAACCUGAAGCUCCUGUGAGUGGUCUGCAUGAUGGGAUGUUGUUACCGUGGCAACACACUCCAUCACUUCCAUUCUGCUCUUCCAUCUCAGCUCGCUUCCCGUCCGAGAUCCGGUCUGGCCUGCUGGAGGUGGUCUCGCCGUCCGUCCACUUCUAUCCGGACUUCUCGCACCUCCGCGAAUCUUUUGGAGACCCCAAGGAGAGAGUCAGGUGGCGCACCAAGCAGAAUCUCGACUACUGCUUCCUCAUGAUGUACGCGCGCGCCAAAGGGACGUACUACGUGCAGCUGGAGGACGACAUCGUGGCGCGGCCCGCCUACUUGAGCACCAUGAAGAAGUUCGCCCUGCAGCAGCCUUCCGACGACUGGAUGAUUCUGGAAUUCUCGCAGCUCGGCUUCAUCGGUAAGAUGUUCAAGUCUUCGGACUUGUCCCUGAUCGCGGAGUUCAUGUUGAUGUUCUACAAGGACAAGCCCAUCGACUGGCUGCUGGAUCACAUCAUGUGGGUCAAAGUGUGCAACCCGGAGAAGGACGCGGUCAGUCGGUGCCUACUCGUGACCUCUGACCUUUGUGACCAACGCGACCUUCCGGGUGGCAGAAGGCGGACGUUUGAGGCUUUCUUCUCUGUAGCGCUGCAGGUUCCAUGUGGGUAGUGUCGGUGGAAAAGAAGAUGUCACAUGAGGUCAGUUGUCGAAAAGGAGUCAGACGUGUGCCCGUCGCGGGAAUGACGGCGUUGAUCGUUCGAGGUUUGGCUCAGCGGGGUUCAUUUGGGUUUUUGGGAAAGAAAACCCAAGCCCAAAACACACAAAACAACUUGGUUUUCAAUCAUUUUCAGUUCAAGUCUUCGGCUAUGUUCACAGUUCACACUCGAGGACAAUUCGGAUUUUGUUUCCUCCCCCCAAUGUUACCUGGAUUAGAUUUUUUGCAAGUCGGUGUGAACAGUACAAUUCCGUUUUGUUUUGUUUUCAUCUCCGAGCCAAGCCUCUUUUGUACGUGGCUAUAAAUCGCAUGUAUGUCCGACGCGAGCGCGCUCCGGGCGCGCAGUUCGCACGCAUCCGACCCAAACGUCGCAGCUAUUCGACAAAACGGACCCGCCACAAAAGCAACGGCGGACGAAGGAGCAGAAAACAGUCAGUGGUGAAAAGAACAUGCUAUAAAUAGGGGAAAGAAACCUCGGACAAAAUCCUGGAAAUUGGCACAAAUGCGGAGUGACGAGACCUACGCAAGGGCGGGAACCGAUUGACUUCCGUAAACACGGCGCCUCGCACGCGCAACGUGACGUCCUAUUUUGUGCGCAUGCGUGUUACGUCACAGAUGCGUCCCGUCCGCAUUUCAAAAUCGGAAUUUGUUCAUCCAAAUUGAGCAGUUGACAUCUUUUCUUAUUUUCAGCAUGAAACAAAUACAGCAACACAUUCCGACACGGAUUGUUUGUAUUCAUUUUGUAGUGUAAAACAAUAUCACGUUAUUAUCGUUGAUGUAAUUGUUCAAUCUCUAUUACGGAAGGUGAACUAGCUGACGUUGACCGACGGUUAUGCACCAGUAAUGAUUAACGGUCGUGGUCCAAAACUACUUUUCACGUGAAUUGUGACUCAACUAUGUAGUCCACUGCAUAAGAAAUCCCGAUUGUAAUUACAGAGCAUUCAAUUGACGGUUUCAGCCCGAGAGUACCAAUAUGGCGAUUCGAACGUCGGGAAUGAGCGAAUGAUUCCGAAGGCAGUCGCUGCGUUGGGAAUCGGUCACUCAUCCCCGCUUGGCCCGAAUCACUACAAACGUACUUUCUGUGGACAUUUCAGGGACUAACUCGGUCUGCCAUAUAAAAAUCGAGAGUCAGCAAUGAUAAAUCACUCCGGACGCAGCCGCUGCAUUAGGAAGCGUUCUCUCAUUCCCGACGACCGAAUCACCCCAAAGGGACAUUCGGUGGACAUGUUAGGGACUAACCGGGUCUGCUAUAAAAGCGACUAUUCACAAUUUAAUUGAACAACGAAAUCCGAAUUUGGCUUGAUGCCCUGCAGUGUGAAUGUAGCCAGAAUUAGACAAUCGCUUUUCUGCCACCUGGAAGUCUAGCCACGCCUAUUUUUUGACAAACAUCAUGAAAAGAAACACUGCGACCGGCAAAAAGCCAACCUGAGGAUCCGCUUCAAGCCGUCUCUCUUCCAACACGUGGGAACGCACUCGUCGCUGG